rnacentral:lncRNA from 1 species
CUGCUGCUGGAGUAAAACAAAAGAAGAAAACAGUGAUUUUAAAGUAGCUUGGUAUAAGGAUAAGAAAAGAAUACCGGUAGAAAAGCGGCUAUAUCAAACGUCCCCAAUGAAAAACUGCUCCUUUCUGAAAAUCACAAAUAUAGUUAAAAAUGACACUGGAGAUUAUGUUUGUAAAGUGAUUCAGGACAUACCAGUUCUGCUAGAAUAUGAGGGACAAAAAACUUACCUGAAUGUCUGUAAAGGUGAACACAGUACUGAGGCAACAACUCAAAGCAGUGCUAGUACAUCUGCCCAAAAAACUCAAAUCAAUGGGACUACCGGCCCCCCUUCACCUCCCAUCCUGCCUCUAUCUCUGGCUGCUGCCAUCGGCCUGCUGACCCUCUGCUUGGCCUUCAGCGUGUGCAAGAUGAGGAACUCCUGUAAAAAAUCAGAGCGAGUAGUCAUUCACCAGACGCCACACAGUGAGGGUGAGGAGCAUGAGAACAUGGAAGAGGAGGAAGGUAGCACAGGCUCCUCUCGAGGAUCCCUCCAGUGGUACCAAGUGCCUGUUUACUGGUCUUACUUUGAUCUAAGGAGGGGUGAAGACCAAUGACAACCAGAAAAGAAAGAUGAACGUGAUGUACUGUUCACUGCA